AUUGAACGCUGGCGGCAGGCCUAACACAUGCAAGUCGAACGAGUGGCGGACGGGUGAGUAAUGUCUGGGAAACUGCCUGAUGGAGGGGGAUAACUACUGGAAACGGUAGCUAAUACCGCAUACCAUCAGAUGUGCCCAGAUGGGAUUAGCUAGUUGGUGGGGUAACGGCUAACCAAGGCGACGAUCACUAGCUGGUCUGAGAGGAUGACGAGCCCCAUGGGAACUGAGCCACGGUCCAGACUCGUAGGGGAGGCAGCAGGGGGUAAUAUUGCACAAUGGGGGCAGGCCGGAUGCAGCCAUGCGGCGUGUAGGAAGAAGGCCUUCGGGUUGUAAGGUACUUUCAGCGGGGAGGCUUUACCCGCAGAAGAAGCACCGGCUAACUCCGUGCCAGCAGCCGCGGUAAUUC
rnacentral:rRNA from 1 species